ACCAGGUAUCUUUUUACCUGAAUACAUAGGGUUUAAGAAGCGAACCCGGGGGAACUGAAACAUCUAAGUACCCGGAGGAAAGGAAAUCAACAGAUACUCCCCUAGUAGUGGCGAGCGAACGGGGACCAGCCGAGCCGUGAGAAUGACCAGAAUGGCCUGGAAAGGCCAGCCAGAGUGGGGUGACAGCCCCGUAUGGGAAGUUUGAUCGGACGUAUUAAGUAGGGCGGGACACGUGAAAUCCUGUCUGAAGAUCGGGGGACCACCCUCGAAGGCUAAGUACUCCUUACUGACCGAUAGCGAACCAGUACCGUGAGGGAAAGGUGAAAAGCACCCCGACGAGGGGAGUGAAACAGUUUCUGAAACCGGACGCCUACAAGCAGUCGGAGCCUCCUUGAGAGGUGACGGCGUACCUUUUGUAUAAUGGGUCAACGACUUGGUCUAUCUAGCAAGCUUAAGCCGUUAGGUGUAGGCGCAGCGAAAGCGAGUCUU
rnacentral:rRNA from 1 species